UUCCUUCCUUCCUUCCUUCCUUCCUUCCUUCCUUCCUUCCUUCUACAGUUCAGAUCCUUAGAGGGAGCUCAUUUACCAUAUCACAUUACAGUUUCAGAAUUACAGGGUAAAAAGGGGAAAUCAAGUUGCAACUUAGAAUUGCUUAAACAGGCUAGUCAGGGAAGAUGAGUACCUCGGGAUGUUUUAGUCUGCCCUAUGUCUGGAGUCCUAAGGGAACCUCAUCCAUUCUCUGCUGUGAUUGCUAAGGAAUCCCUUAGCAACCCCCAACUCAACACAGGCAUUGAAAUAAGAAUGAUAAAUUGGAAGAAUGAGUUUCAGAUUUAAAUGAUUGUGAACUUACAUUUAACUGCAUUUUAACUUAUAUGAGAGCAAGAGAAGUUUUACUUUAAUCAUGUCCUGC
rnacentral:lncRNA from 10 species